GCCGGGGUCGCCUAGCCUGGUCUAGGGCGCCGGACUCAUAAUCCGGUUAUCCCGGGUUCGAAGCCCGGUGCUCGGCA
rnacentral:tRNA from 2 species